CACGUAGGGCGCAAGCGUUGUCCGGAAUUAUUGGGCGUAAAGAGCUCGUAGGCGGUCCGUCACGUCCGCUGUGAAAACCCAGGGCUCAACCCUGGGCUUGCAGUGGAUACGGGCAGACUAGAGGUAGGUAGGGGAGACUGGAAUUCCUGGUGUAGCGGUGAAAUGCGCAGAUAUCAGGAGGAACACCGAUGGCGAAGGCAGGUCUCUGGGCAUUAACUGACGCUGAGGAGCGAAAGCAUGGGGAGCGAACAGG
rnacentral:rRNA from 1 species